UUUAUGGAGAGUUUGAUCCUGGCUCAGGAUGAACGCUGGCGGCGUGCCUAAUACAUGCAAGUCGAGCGAACGGACGAGAAGCUUGCUUCUCUGAUGUUAGCGGCGGACGGGUGAGUAACACGUGGAUAACCUACCUAUAAGACUGGGAUAACUUCGGGAAACCGGAGCUAAUACCGGAUAAUAUUUUGAACCGCAUGGUUCAAAAGUAAAAGACGGUCUUGCUGUCACUUAUAGAUGGAUCCGCGCUGCAUUAGCUAGUUGGUAAGGUAACGGCUUACCAAGGCAACGAUGCAUAGCCGACCUGAGAGGGUGAUCGGCCACACUGGAACUGAGACACGGUCCAGACUCCUACGGGAGGCAGCAGUAGGGAAUCUUCCGCAAUGGGCGAAAGCCUGACGGAGCAACGCCGCGUGAGUGAUGAAGGUCUUCGGAUCGUAAAACUCUGUUAUUAGGGAAGAACAUAUGUGUAAGUAACUGUGCACAUCUUGACGGUACCUAAUCAGAAAGCCACGGCUAACUACGUGCCAGCAGCCGCGGUAAUACGUAGGUGGCAAGCGUUAUCCGGAAUUAUUGGGCGUAAAGCGCGCGUAGGCGGUUUUUUAAGUCUGAUGUGAAAGCCCACGGCUCAACCGUGGAGGGUCAUUGGAAACUGGAAAACUUGAGUGCAGAAGAGGAAAGUGGAAUUCCAUGUGUAGCGGUGAAAUGCGCAGAGAUAUGGAGGAACACCAGUGGCGAAGGCGACUUUCUGGUCUGUAACUGACGCUGAUGUGCGAAAGCGUGGGGAUCAAACAGGAUUAGAUACCCUGGUAGUCCACGCCGUAAACGAUGAGUGCUAAGUGUUAGGGGGUUUCCGCCCCUUAGUGCUGCAGCUAACGCAUUAAGCACUCCGCCUGGGGAGUACGACCGCAAGGUUGAAACUCAAAGGAAUUGACGGGGACCCGCACAAGCGGUGGAGCAUGUGGUUUAAUUCGAAGCAACGCGAAGAACCUUACCAAAUCUUGACAUCCUUUGACAACUCUAGAGAUAGAGCCUUCCUCUUCGGGGGACAAAGUGACAGGUGGUGCAUGGUUGUCGUCAGCUCGUGUCGUGAGAUGUUGGGUUAAGUCCCGCAACGAGCGCAACCCUUAAGCUUAGUUGCCAUCAUUAAGUUGGGCACUCUAAGUUGACUGCCGGUGACAAACCGGAGGAAGGUGGGGAUGACGUCAAAUCAUCAUGCCCCUUAUGAUUUGGGCUACACACGUGCUACAAUGGACAAUACAAAGGGCAGCGAAACCGCGAGGUCAAGCAAAUCCCAUAAAGUUGUUCUCAGUUCGGAUUGUAGUCUGCAACUCGACUACAUGAAGCUGGAAUCGCUAGUAAUCGUAGAUCAGCAUGCUACGGUGAAUACGUUCCCGGGUCUUGUACACACCGCCCGUCACACCACGAGAGUUUGUAACACCCGAAGCCGGUGGAGUAACCUUUUAGGAGCUAGCCGUCGAAGGUGGGACAAAUGAUUGGGGUGAAGUCGUAACAAGGUAGCCGUAUCGGAAGGUGCGGCUGGAUCACCUCCUUUCU
rnacentral:rRNA from 1 species